AUAACAAGUUGCCAGCGACAAAUCCCUCGGUAGGGAAAGCUCGCUUUACAGCAGACUAGCUGGACCAACUGGCC
rnacentral:sRNA from 12 species